CUCCCGCUCACCUGGUGAAUGGGUUUGAAGAGGGGUGAUUUGCUGUGGCAUAAGUUGAGAUGGUAUGGAAGAGGGGUGGCCGAGCUCAAGGUUGGGAGGUUGGAACAGUCUCUUCUCCGAGGAUGGGAGGUGCUAAUCUGUGCAGAGUUGGAGCUCUAUUCAGCAAUAAUUUCAUGGGUGGGUGCUGCUGCUUACCAGAGAACCUAGUAAGAAGGAUCGCCUUCUUCAAACUCCGUGUUAAGCAUUAAGCGAGAGCCAGACAUGAUUCAGAAGAGUUCUGGAAGUUCAAGGGCUUGGAUUCAAGUGCGAGGAUUGGUUUGGAUCAACUGGUGUUGACGUUGCUUGAGUUCCAGGUGGAACUUUUUUCCAAUACUUAUUUUUCAGGGAAAAUGAGGCCAAUCCAAGAAUGACAUUAAAUUACCCAAUUUUAGCAUUAGAAAACCUUUGAAAUCUUAUGGUUUGGAAAUGGGUACAACUUGAAAUAUGAUCUUCUAUGCAGUUGCUUUUA